UGGGGAAUAUUGGACAAUGGGCGCAAGCCUGAUCCAGCCAUGCCGCGUGAGUGAUGAAGGCCUUAGGGUUGUAAAGCUCUUUUGUCCGGGACGAUAAUGACGGUACCGGAAGAAUAAGCCCCGGCUAACUUCGUGCCAGCAGCCGCGGUAAUACGAAGGGGGCUAGCGUUGCUCGGAAUCACUGGGCGUAAAGGGCGCGUAGGCGGCCAUUCAAGUCGGGGGUGAAAGCCUGUGGCUCAACCACAGAAUUGCCUUCGAUACUGUUUGGCUUGAGUAUGGUAGAGGUCAGUGGAACUGCGAGUGUAGAGGUGAAAUUCGUAGAUAUUCGCAAGAACACCAGUGGCGAAGGCGGCUGACUGGACCAUUACUGACGCUGAGGCGCGAAAGCGUGGGGAGCAAACAGG
rnacentral:rRNA from 1 species